GCGGCAGGUCCCUACGGUCGUCGAUCUGGGCACGGUGUUGCGUGUCGACCUUGUGCCUGCAAACGGCACAACUGCUGGUGGAUGCCGGUCACGCAGCAGCGCUCCCAAUUCCUCGAGCUGUUCGCUCCCACAGGGGUCCCAAAUUGGGCAAAAUUCACCUGGUUGCGGGAGCAGGUGGCGCCAAGGCUAGCGCGCAGGCCGCAUGUAGCCAAGCAGCCAACGCAAGGUUCAGCUGAGCUACCCUCAAGGCCAGACAAUCACAGCUUCACCGUUCUUGUGGUGCAUCCUAGGUAUGUCUCAUAUAGAUACAUGUGCCUCUGGAAUUGUGACCCAAGCAGGAGAUAGCCAGUGAUUACUGCCAAACUGAUCUACAUUUAUGCCAACCAUUUUGUUGCAUGAUUUUACUAUUUCAAUGCUGGUAUGCAGUAUGAUCUAUGAGUAGAGCUUAGUAGAUAGCCUCUUAAUGUUUGUGAUAGUGUAUUUCAGAUAGCCUUUUUGUAGAAGGAUAGAACUGAUAUCUAAGCAAAUUGUG